GAGUCAUUAAUGGAUGCUACCUGGUUGAUCCUGCCAGUAGUCAUAUGCUUGUCUC
rnacentral:rRNA from 1 species